CAGCCGCCGCGGUAAUACGUAGGGUGCAAGCGUUAAUCGGAAUUACUGGGCGUAAAGCGUGCGCAGGCGGUUAUAUAAGACAGAUGUGAAAUCCCCGGGCUCAACCUGGGAACUGCAUUUGUGACUGUAUAGCUAGAGUACGGCAGAGGGGGAUGGAAUUCCGCGUGUAGCAGUGAAAUGCGUAGAUAUGCGGAGGAACACCGAUGGCGAAGGCAAUCCCCUGGGCCUGCACUGACGCUCAUGCACGAAAGCGUGGGGAGCAAACAGGAUUAGAUACCCGUGUAGUCCCUGUCUCUUAUAC
rnacentral:rRNA from 1 species